UAACCUCAGACACACUUUGCUUUCAUGGCAUCAUUUCACACACCACCUUUCUUAGCACACUGCAGCACACUUAAAUAGCUCCUGAAAUUAGCAGCUCUGUGUACUGAAUUCAGAGAUUGUGUGAGGCAACAAAACCACCU